UUCCUACGGGCGGCUGCAGUGAGGAAUAUUGGUCAAUGGGCGAGAGCCUGAACCAGCCAAGUAGCGUGCAGGAUGACGGCCCUAUGGGUUGUAAACUGCUUUUAUAUGGGGAUAAAGUUAGUCACGUGUGACUAUUUGCAGGUACCAUAUGAAUAAGGACCGGCUAAUUCCGUGCCAGCAGCCGCGGUAAUACGGAAGGUCCAGGCGUUAUCCGGAUUUAUUGGGUUUAAAGGGAGCGUAGGCUGUUUUUUAAGCGUGUUGUGAAAUGUAGAUGCUUAACAGCUGAAUGGCAGCGCGAACUGGAAGACUUGAGUGCGCGGAAGGUAGGCGGAAGUCGUCGUGUAGCGGUGAAAUGCUUAGAUAUGACGAAGAACUCCGAUUGCGAAGGCAGCUUACCGCAGCGCCACUGACGCUGAUGCUCGAAGGUGCGGGUAUCGAACAGGAUUAGAUACCCCUGUAGUCCGG
rnacentral:rRNA from 1 species